rnacentral:SRP_RNA from 1 species
GCCAGGUGUGGUGGCGGGCCCCUGUAAUCCCAGCUACUCGGGAGGCUGAGGCAGGAGAAUUGCUUGAGCCCAGGAGGCAGAGAUUGCAGUGAGCCGAGAUCGUGCCACUGCACUCCAGCCUGGGCAACAGAGUGAGACUCUGUCUCAA